rnacentral:rRNA from 1 species
AACAUAAUAACUACAACUUUCAACAACGGAUCUCUUGGUUCUGGCAUCGAUGAAGAACGCAGCGAAAUGCGAUAAGUAGUGUGAAUUGCAGAAUUCAGUGAAUCAUCGAAUCUUUGAACGCACAUUGCGCCCUUUGGUAUUCCAAAGGGCAUG